CGCGGAGUUAAUCAGGCCAUCCGGCUAUAAAGCUCCUUGUCAGGAAGAAACGGGAGUGGCUAAUAUCUGCUCCCAAUGACGGUACUGAUGAUUAUGCACAGCCUAUCUCCGUGCCAGCAGCCGCGGUAAUACGUAGGAGCAAGCGUUAAUCGGAACUCACGGGGGGUAAAGCCUGCGCAGGCGGUUUUGUAAGUCUGUUGUGAGAUCCCCGGGCUUAUCCUGGGAAUGGCAAUGGAGACUGCAAGGCUAGAGUUUGGCAGAGGGGGGUAGAAUUACACGUGUAGCAGUGAAAUGCGUAGAGAUGUGGAGGAACACCGAUGUCGAAGGCAGCCCCCUGGGUCAAGACUGACGCUCAUGCACGAAAGCGUGGGGAGCAAUCAGGAUUAGAUACCCUGGUAGUUCACGCCCUAAACGAUGUGUACUAGUUGUCGGGUCUUAAUUGACUUGGUAACGCAGCUAACGCGUGAAGUAGACCGCCUGGGGAGUACGGUCGCAAGAUUAAAACUCAAAGGAAUUGACGGGGACCCGCACAAGCGGUGGAUGAUGUGGAUUAAUUCGAUGCAACGCGAAAAACCUUACCUACCCUUGACAUGGCAGGAAUCCUGGAGAGAUCUGGGAGUGCUGGAAAGAGAACCUGCACACAGGUGCUGCAUGGCUGUCGUCAGCUCGUGUCGUGAGAUGUUGGGUUAAGUCCCGCAACGAGCGCAACCCUUGUCAUUAGUUGCUACGAAAGAGCACUUUAAUGAGACCCCCGGUGACAAACCGGAGGAAGGUGGGGAUGACGUCAAGUCCUCAUGGCCCUUAUGGGUAGGGCUUCACACGUCAUACAAUGGUACAUACAGAGGGCCGCCAACCCGCGAGGGGGAGCUAAUCCCAGAAAGUGUAUUGUAGUCCGGAUUGUAGUCUGCAACUCGACUGCAUGAAGUUGGAAUCGCUAGUAAUCGCGGAUCAGCAUGUCGCGGUGAAUACGUUCCCGGGUCUUGUACACACCGCCUGUCACACCAUGGGAGCGGGUUUUACCAGAAGUAGGUAGCUUAACCGCAAGGAGGGCGCUACCACGGUAGGAUUCGAAUUGGUA
rnacentral:rRNA from 1 species